ACAGAUUCUCUCUGAAUCUAACCAUGUGUGAACUGUCUCUUUAAUCAUGGGUGUGGUAAAGUUGGUGCGGAAGGCGUCAUUUUGUGGUAAAACACUUGGUGGCGAACGAAUAGUGUCCAUUACCGCCAAUCAAACCCAACCAUGACUAUCCAACCAUUUAACUUUAUGACUGAAUAAAAAACAAACCUAGA
rnacentral:misc_RNA from 1 species